ACACUCACCUUGGCAGCACAUGUACUAAAGCUGGAAUGAUGCUGAGAUUAGCACGGCUCCUGCACAAGGAUGACAUGGGAAUUCAUGAAGCAUCCCAGCAUUUA
ensembl:snRNA U6 U6 spliceosomal RNA